AUGUUGGAAAAAGGGCUCAUCACACCUAGUACGAGUGCAUUUUCAUCGCCCGUGCUGCUGGUCAAGAAGAAGGACCAAACAUGGCGUUUCUGUGUCGAUUACCAUCAUCUCAACACCAUCACUGUCAAGAAAACCUACCCAAUGCCUGUGAUCGACGAGCUACUCGACGAGUUGGCUGGUUCUAAGUGGUUCUCGAAGUUGGAUUUGCGAGCCGGAUAUCAUCAAAUCCGCUUGGUCCCGGAGGAUGAGCACAAGACAGCAUUCCGAACGCACUUGGGGCACUUUCAGUUCAGAGUGAUGCCGUACGGCCUCGCGUACGCUCUUGCAACUUUCCAAGGGGUGGUC
rnacentral:rRNA from 1 species